GGAGGAAAAGAAACUAACAAGGAUUCCCCUAGUAACUGCGAGUGAAGCGGGAAAAGCUCAAAUUUAAAAUCUGGCGGUCUCAGGCCGUCCGAGUUGUAAUCUAGAGAAGUGUUAUCCGCGCUGGACCGUGUACAAGUCUCCUGGAAUGGAGCGUCAUAGAGGGUGAGAAUCCCGUCUUUGACACGGACUGCCAGGGCUUUGUGAUGCGCUCUCAAAGAGUCGAGUUGUUUGGGAAUGCAGCUCAAAAUGGGUGGUAAAUUCCAUCUAAAGCUAAAUAUUGGCGAGAGACCGAUAGCGAACAAGUACCGUGAGGGAAAGAUGAAAAGAACUUUGGAAAGAGAGUUAAACAGUACGUGAAAUUGCUGAAAGGGAAACGCUUGAAGUCAGUCGCGUUGGCCGGGGAUCAACCUUGCUUUUGCUGGGUGUACUUCCCGGUCGACGGGUCAGCAUCAAUUUUGACCGUUGGAUAAAGUCUGAGGGAAUGUGGCAUCUCCGGAUGUGUUAUAGCCCUCGGUCGCAUACAACGAUUGGGAUUGAGGAACUCAGCACGCCGAAAGGCCGGGUACUUGUACCACGUUCGUGCUUAGGAUGCUGGCAUAAUGGCUUUAAUCGACCCGUCUUGA
rnacentral:rRNA from 1 species